rnacentral:rRNA from 1 species
GACGAACGCUGGCGGCGUGCUUAACACAUGCAAGUCGAACGGAAAGGCCCUGCUUUUGUGGGGUGCUCGAGUGGCGAACGGGUGAGUAACACGUGAGUAACCUGCCCUUGACUUUGGGAUAACUUCAGGAAACUGGGGCUAAUACCGGAUAGGAGCUCCUGCUGCAUGGUGGGGGUUGGAAAGUUUCGGCGGUUGGGGCUGGACUCGCGGCUUAUCAGCUUGUUGGUGGGGUAGUGGCUUACCAAGGCUUUGACGGGUAGCCGGCCUGAGAGGGUGACCGGCCACAUUGGGACUGCGAUACGGCCCAGACUCCUACGGGAGGCAGCAGUGGGGAAUAUUGCGCAAUGGGCGGAAGCCUGAUGCAGCAACGCCGCGUGCGGGAUGACGGCCUUCGGGUUGAAAACCGCUUUCGCCUGUGACGAAGCGUGAGUGACGGUAAUGGGUAAAGAAGCAACGGCUAACUACGUG